rnacentral:lncRNA from 1 species
GACGCACCUCACCAGUAUCAGAGCAACAGCUGUGGGGUGUUCAUGCUGAUGGUGAGAUGCAUUAUUUUCAGAAAUGAUGACUGAUGACUAGUUUGCAAAACAACUAACUCAUUUGUAUGUUAAUUUCAGUACGCAAUGUAUUCUACCCUCAAAAGCAAUAUGAUUUCAGUGAGGGGGACAUGCUCUCUAUCAGGAGGUGGUGGUUGGACUGCUGUUGGAGACCUUUAUGCUUGAAAGCCCUGCAGAACUAGCUGGCUCCUUCUCACCCUCUCCAUCUCCCCAUCUCAGUCACACCUUCCAAUCACUAAGCAGUGAAAGCCCGGCAGGACUAGCUGGCACACCAAGCUCACCCUCUCCAUCUCCCCAUCUCGGCCACACGCUCCAAUCUGGCACAACAGAGGACAGGCCAUUCUUAUCACUCGAAGUCCUUCAGCAAAUUGUACAAGAGACGCUGAGACUGGACAUGGCGAUGCUUGGCGUGUUCAACAGGGUUUCAAACACAUUCCGAGAACUAAUCAAGCCUCUCUAUCCUUCAAUAUAUAAAUGACAGUUUGGCAGGGGACAUUAAGCUUAAUAAAGACAAUCUCAUAUACAUAACGGUUAGAAAGAUUUACAACAAUGCAGGCUGUGGCAGUGGCCUUGCACUACGCCUCAAAGGCUUCUUAAAAAAGAAGAAUUGGCCAAGCGCACCCCUGGUACUGAGGCACGUUGCAUAUGGCAGGUUUGUCAUAAAAGAUGUCUGCAUAGCAUAAUGUUCUUUUAUUACUCCUUUUUCGUUUUAUUUGGGACGUCAUUUUUGCAAUCCCUUUCAUUUGUAAAUGUACAUACUACUGUAGUAAAUGUAUCUGCCCAGAAAUGCUGGUAUUUUAUUACUCCUUUCUUUUUUGUUUUUGUGACAAAUGCUAUACGAUGUAUAACAUACAUUUGUGCCUACGAUGUAUGUUGUAAGGUUAAUUGUUACAGAGCAAUUACUGUAUUUUGUCUUUAUUGAAAACAUUCAGUGGGAAAAGUAAGUGAACACUUGGAGUCAAAUGGCCCACUGUUUGAGCCUUCAUAGUGUCUGGUAACUGGAUUUGAACUGCAUAAGGUCCCAAGUGUUAUUUUAAUCUAUUCAUUAUUUAAUUUGGGCAUAUUCUUAAACAACUAUAUCAAACAUCUCACUUAUACCUAAUACCCUACCUAUACUAACCCAGAAGAUAAUGAGCAUGAGAUCAUGGAGCCUCCCUGUAAUGAUUGUGUUGCAUCAAGUUUGAUGCAAAGUUUGGGCCGAGAUCCGACACAUAAAUGUAAGUUAACAUUCUGUAGGCCUAGCUGGCUAACGUACCCGUAUUACGAGAUCGAAGAAGGGGGCGCUAACGUCAGUUCUUUGCUGCCCAUACUACUAGAUCGACGAAGAAGAACGGGGCGUUCCAGCCUGCGUAAACGAGAACGCCCACCACACGAGAACGCCGGGGGGGCGUUUUAGUCUGCGUGAACGGGAACGCCCACGACACGGGAACGCCCAUUUGUGUCUGCAGUCGGAUGAUAUUGAAAACAAGUGGGAACAAGGACUAAGAACAAUUAAGCAAGCAUACAGUAAGUGAACAAGAACAGCAAAGUAGAGCCAGGGGGUAUCAAUAAAUAAAACAAUGUUAGUCAUGUGUGGAACAAGAACAACAAAUGUGUAAACAGGUGUGUGUGUCUACAGUAUAUCUAACUUGUAAAACAAGAAAAAAAUGAAGGCACAGAGAGGAAUAUUAUAAGUUAUUAAUAAACAAAGAAAAUACUCCACAUACAUCAGGCUGAGGUUAAGGAUAGUAAAGUGCAUCAGGUCGAAAGGAAGGACAACAAUUGCAGCAGUCGCCGCCACCGCCACCACCACCAGCCACCAGCAGCCGCCACCAACAACAGCCGUCGCCAUCACAAGCCGCCACCACUAGUAUGGGAGAAAUUAACCAUUACUUUUAUAUUAACUAUGAGUAUUAUCAGGUCUAUAUAUCAUAUAGAUACAUUAAUGGUGGAAAGCAGCUAAAAUCAUCUCUGAAUUCAUAGGCAUACUAUUGAACUCGGCAUGGUGCCAGAGAGU